UGGCAACCCCCUGCUUUUGAUCGAAGGAAACCCCGUAGCAUGCACCCCAUGCUUGUGAGGGUGUUAAACCCCAAUUAAGCACCUGCUUUUGAUUGAAGGAAACCCCGUAGCGUGCACCCCAUGCUUUUGAGGGUGGGAAACCCCAAUUAAGCACCUGGGUGCUUAAGUGGCGCAACACCGGAGCAUUCAGCACAUGGUCUUCAACACUGAGACACGGCCUGGACCUCGGACAGGAGGAAAAUCAGCCAGGAACUGAGGUGUCCAAGCCAGAUCCUCCAACCUGCCCCAGCUGCUCUAAAAUGGCAGAAGAAAACAGGAGGCUUUGGAAGCAGCUUCGGACAAAGGAGAAGUGGCUAAAAAAGGCAAAAGCUAAACUCCACGCAUUCGAAACGCAGGCCCUCCAAAAGACGAGCGGUGGGGGGCCUGUCGAGGCAGACCAGGGGUCAUCCGAACAAGUGGACCCCCCAGAAGAUGAGGAUGAAGACUCAUCCUCUGAGGAGCCAAAGAAGGCUGCAAAAUCGCGAUUCCCAUUGAGGGGAUUCAAAGAUUUUCCUCAACCCAUCCUGGAGUUCAUGGAGGAGUACUGGUU